GGUGGGGCCUCGGUGACGUCAUGCGGCCUGCCGCCCGGGGCCGAAGGCGGGGCCUGCCGCCGCCGGUGACGUCAUGGGGAAUCGGGGCGGGCCUGGCGGGGCCGCCUCAAUGUUGGGGCGCGGGCUCCCCCCUCCGAGGGGCGACGGGGCGGAGUCCUGCGCCCACGGGGGAGCGUGGCGCGCGCGGGAGCCGCCCUGCCGCCUCCCGGCGCGGGCUCCGGGCUUUGUCCCGAGCUGGGCGGGGCGGGCGGAGGAGGAGGGCGGCCGGGGGAGUGUGCGUCCGCGCGGAGAACGCUGGAAGCCUGGGUUCUCCCCGUGGGGCGGGCGCGCGGCUGAGCUGCGCGCGCCGCGUCAGCCCUGCCUCGGUUUCCCACCGCAGCGCGGGCGGCCGCCGAGGGAGCGCCUGGCAUCGCGAGCAUCUGCAGGUCUGGAGGAGUGAGAGGUCUCUCCUGGACAUUCAGAUGUGGAGUUGAAAUGACUGGACAACUUCCUCAAGGACCAAAGAUUGAAUCAAGGUCUCACUGAUACUAAGCCAGAGCUACUUCUAGGACUCCAGACGUCCUCCCUGUGACCGCAAAAGAAGCACAGAAGCUACUUUGGCCAGAGUAGAGCCUCCUGUGUCCUCACACUUCCUCACCAAGAAGACUUGGGGCAGCUCACUCGGCUUCCCAGGUGUAUGGAUUUAAGGGCAGGACCUUCACUACGAAAUGGUUUCAGGCCUCUCGAUGAACAGGACAAAAGAUGGCUACCCCAUUGCUGCCAAAUUACAUCUCUUCAAUUCAAGUGACCAACCAGGUCAAGAGACAACAGCAUCUAAACUCCUGGGAGGAUCUGAUCUGUUCAGUUUGGGUCAAUUAGUGGGGGUCAGGGAGCAGGGCAUAUGUUCAGAUAAUGCUACUUUUGCAGCCAACAGAAUGCAGGCGUCUCUGGAAGGCAGUUAUGGGCUGGGCAGAUGACUUCAUCAUUAUAGCUCAUUAUUGUCAUUUCCAUGCCAUCCCAUUCCCUUUAUUCUUUUCAUUCUGGUUUUAAAGUCUUCUAAGGUUUUGAUGCCUUGUGGUACCAACAAAGCCAGGAUGCCAUUUCCCUCCCUAGAAACAACUGUUCCUUAAACAAUUAUUUCUCCCCGAGUAGUCCCUGCCUUGUAAGCUUCUUAGCCUGGCUUGCUGGCCUUGGGAGGGAAUGCUAGUUUUGCCUUCAGGAGCGUUAGUUAGAUAGGGCCUCACUAACAAAACCAGUGACCUGGUUCAUCUCUCAGGGGAUGACUGUCAUUUUGCAAAAACUUGGGAAGAAGAUAAAACAAAGAGAGACGAUUUAACUCCAUUGCUCCCAGUGUCUCCAUUCCCUCCAUAUCCUAGCCUAAUGGUGCUAGGAUACAAUAGUCUUAACCACCCGAGUUACCACUGUGGAUGAAUAAGUGGUGCUGUAAUAAAUCAUAAAUUCCUAACGGGCAGGUCAUGGUGAAUAGUCACUCCCCAGCAUAUAACUUUUUAGUAAAAGGCUUAUCCUUGCCUUAAGCAAGCCCUGUCUAUUGUUUCUGUGCAUCUAGGUCAGUGGUUCUCAACCUUCCUAAUGCCGCAACCCUUUAAUACAGUUCCUCAUGUUGUGGUGACCCCCAAUUUCAUUGUUACAAAUUGAACAUAAUUAAAGAAAGUGAUUAAUCACAAAAACAAUAUGUAAUUAUAUAUGUUUUUCGAUGGUCUUAGGCGACCCCUGUGAAAGGGUCGUUCGACCCCCAAAGGGGUCUUGACCCACAGGUUGAGAACCGCUGAUCUAGGUGAUCACACCUCUGAAAUGCCUUUUUUUCAGAGCCCUCCUUCUAAAACAUAACCACCCUCAAGGAGCAAAUAGUCUAAGUAUCCUGCAGUCCAGUCCCACUUUGCUUUCUUCCACCUUCACGUAAUCUUCCGUAAAUUCUCUCCUUAAUUCCAAAUGCUUAAAAGAACUGCAAAAUAUUUAUCACCAGAGCAUUUGAGAUACUGCUCCCUGGCAUAUGUCGUCAGCUUGGCUCAAACUUAUGAAAACUCUACAGGUUUGGACGUCCCUUACGUCAACAUUGCAGAGGACUCUUCCCAAGUGCUCACCAUUGCCUGGUACCAAUGCCACCGAGCGGAACAGGAAGUCAGAGCACAGGGCUCCCUCUUCACGUGGGGAGCAUCUCUCAGUAUUACUGGCCCAAGAGAUAUUUGGGGUACACACAGACAUCUGUGCUCUGACAGCUUGAAGCUGAAGCCUUUUUUUUUUUUUUUUGGGUGUGGUGACAAGAAAUUUGUAUGAGCUUCUCUUUAGGGAAAAACGUGACUAUCACGGUUUCUAAUUUUAAACAGAAAAUCCAUUUUCCACCAUCAUCCUUGAUCAGAAGUAGCCUUUUCGAAAAACUGGAGGGAAUGCAGGAUUCUAGUGAAUUCACCUGAUCUCUAGAGAGUACAUUUUAAACAACACAAGGAAGUACUUGAGGAAAAUGAAAAUGCAUUGGGUUGGAGUUCUCUUUCCUGGGGAAGACCAGAAAAAGCUGCAGGUCGGGGAGACGAGAGGAGGAGGGGGUUGGGAAAAUCCCUCGGAAGUCAUUUUCUUGAGUAUCAGAGAAGAGGAAGGAGCAUAAAGACCAGCUGAAGAAGUGGGACUCCUUGAUGAAAUUCUUGUAAUGAACUCCCAUCCCGACGGUGCUGCAAGUGGUCCGUCGAAUCCAAGGCCUGGGCAGCUGUAGGGAAGAACGGACAGUGCCAGUUCCUGCCUCUGAGCAAGGGCAGAGACCUCGCUGGUCCUCUGCAAAGCAUCCUCGGGCCAACAGCGCUCCACACAUUUUUCCGAGACGUUGGAUCAUUUGCAAUUUGCCCCACGACUCCCACACAUUUGCCUCUUAGUGUCCCAAAGCUCUCGCUGCUGCAAGGUUCCCAUAGGAAUGUGGACGCCUGCCAAGCGACCUCAUGAACAUUCCAUUCAUCUCCUUGGCUGGGAGGCAGCAAGGAAGCCAAAUGGGCUGAUUGUUUAACUGUUUGGGUCCCAAAUUCACCCUGAAAUGAAUGGUCAAGCUUGUUGAACUUUUCCAACAAUCAUGCAGGAAAACAGAAGAUAAAACCAAAGAGAAGUAUGCAUUUAUUCAUAUGAUCCCAUCCGAAAAACAGCUAUUUUUAAAGGUAGCCAAAUGAAAACCACAUUCUCUGAUUUUCCUUAUUGUGAAAUCACCCUCCACCAGAAAGGCAUUCUGAAGUAAUGAGGCUUUGUGAGGUGUGACUAAAAACAAUGUGACUAAUUUCUUUUUUUUUUUUAAGCAAACGCAGCAGAACACAGCCAUCCAAAUGAAGGUUGUUGUCUUCCAAGUAAUUCCAGGACGCUCACACAUGUAAAAAUCCUUUUAGGGGAAUUACUGGCCAAGUCUUGCUCUCACUGUUUUGCUUUCUGUUGGUCAUUCAUUCAGCAUGUAUUAGACACCUCCCGGGUGCCAAGCACUCUGCCAGGCCCAGGGUCUAGAGUGAGGGGAGAGAUGCAAUCUCAUUGCAUGUUUGAUGAAGGAGGCCCCCCGGGUCCGGUGGAAAAAGUUAGCCCAACCUAGGUUUGAAUCCCAGUUUAGCCUGUGCGGGUUGUGUAACCUCAGGCAACUUUCCUAAACUCUUUGAGUCACAAUGUCCUCAUGUCUAAAAUGAAGACGGUAAAACUGACUUCAUAGGAUUGCUUUGAGGAGAAAAGCAGAUAAAAUGUGUAGUAACUAGCCAUUGCAGAGACCGAUACAGAGCCGUUGCUCAGCCAAUGAGUGUUCCUGUGAUUAUAAUUGUUUGAUUUACAUAGCUGGUUCAACCACCCCUUUUGGGGGAUUAGACUCUGAAUGCACUUUUGGAAAAAACCAAACGUUUUAUUAUGUGUAUGUGGGUAAUACAAGGUACAAAAUUCAAAGUGUACAAACAUUAGGCGAUGGAAAUGAAAACUUCUUUCUUCCCUUGCUCCUCUGCUGCUCAUUUUUCUCCCCGGAGAUAACUGGUAUGACCAGGAUCUUGUAUAUUUACAGAUUUAAUUAUAUUUCUUGGAGAUAGGUUCAUAACAAUACAUUGGUUCCUACUGCAUCACUUUCAUUUUUGAAUGAUUACAUGGCGUUCUAUUGACUGGAUGUAUCAUAAUUGAUUUAGCCAGUCUCCUAUUGGUUAACAUUUGUUUCUAAUCUUUGGCCAUAACAACAAUGCAGCAAAUACCCUUCUUGUGCUCAGCUUUGACUAAGGAUAAUUAAACCACAGGCAGCUCCACACAACAUCAUUGGAACAACGUGACUGGUUGGAAGCAGAGAAUGAUGACCCGAUUCUGGAUUGUUUUCUCAAAAUACAUCUCAGUAUUCUAUUCCUGGAAUAUUCACGCUAUUCCUCAAAUGCUACCUACUAGAAAAGUGCAGUGUCUGCAUAAUAAUAUUACAAGAACUGCCCAGCUGGCAUGGCUCAGUGGUUGAGUAAAUAUGAACCAGAAGGUCAUGGUUUGACUCCCGGUCGGGGCAUGUGCCCAGGUUGCAGGCUUGAUCCCUAGUAGGGGGUGUGUGGGAAGCAGCCGAUCAAUGAUUCUCUCUCAUCAUUGAUGUUUCUCUCUCUCUCUCCCUUCCUCUCUGAAAUCAAUGAAAAUAUAUUUUAAAAAAAAUAAUAUUACAAAAAUGGUAGCAUUCACCUGAAACCUAUAUAAUCUUAUUAACCAGUGUCACCCCAAUAAAUUCAAUAAAGAAAAAGAAUGGUGGCAUUCUAGUUCAGACAUGACUGUCAUACAACAACCCUUCCAAGAUCUAUAAUAAAUGGACACAUUUUCCUGUGGUUGGCACCAAAGAGUCAAGGAUGCAGAGAUUCCAGACAGCCCCUCUAGAAGCAGCUGUUAAGAAGAUUUGCACUCCAAUUUGCUGCCUCAGCUUGAAACAGUGAAAUGUAUUAAAAUGUGCCACAUCGGUUAACAUGGGUUCAAUUAGAUGAAGCCUGCCAAUUUGGAAGGAGGACAAGUGUUCCUUGGUGGCCAUCUUUGCGGAUGCCCAGGCCUGCACCGGCUGUGUGUGGAAUUGAGUCAGAGAGAACCUAUACGUGAGGUUCUGGCACAAUCCUUCCUGGAUGCAUCCUUAUUUCUGAAUCACGAGAAAGGCCCACGUGAAUAGGCGGCAGGGGAAUGGAAGUCUUUCUAAGAAGUCUCCUCCGUCAGACAUGCACGCGGAUCCUUAAAUGAGCUCCAUGCAAAUGAAAACCGGUCCCAAGGACAUCUUGAGCCAAAGAAAAUUCUUGGUUGGGGUUGAAAAAAUGUCAGAUAAAUAGUUUCUCCUUGCUUCUCAGCAGGCUCCGGCUAUCGCUGCGAUCCAGAUCUGGCCUUCGAGCAGUUCUGGCAGGUUUAUCUUGGACCAGCUGCUGUGAUGAAAUCGCAGUAAUUCCAGGUUUCCCUCAAAUCUAGACUGAGCCAAAGGCAAUCUGGGCUUCGAGCAUCCGGCUGACUUCACUGCCUCUCUCCAGUCCUUCCUCAGCUUUCAAGCUUCUGAUUUUUUCUUUUUUAACUGAGACAGGGGUGGUGGAGGAAACCCUUCCAGUGCAGCCCAGAAAUGUGGAAAAUGUUUAUUUCAGGUUAAUCCAGGAAACCUCUAUGGAGCACCAGUGAGGGUUUAGGUAGGCCACCGGGUGUGACACUGACUGACAUGGAUUGUGUAUCCUACAAUAUGCCAGGCUGUCCUUCAGGCUUCCUACACAAAAGAUCUCAUUUAAUCCACCAACAGCACUAUGAAGCAGAAUCUGGUAUUCCUGUUUUCCAAAAGAGCAUGGUGGGUCUCAGGAAGGCUGAGUCUCUUCCUUGACCCCCAGCUGGUGUUCAAACCUGGCCCUAGCCUGAGUCUCGGGCCUCUGCUUGUUCUCGCUGUGCUGCCCUGGCCAUAAGCAAGAAGGCCUUAGAUAGAGUCCUGGAAGAGAGACUGUGAUAAGAAAAACUGAGGUGAACAGAAGGGAGGAAACUGAGACCGGAUGAGAGAGGAAAGAGGUGGGUGAGCCCAACCUCUGAAGCCCUUUCGGGCCCUGGGAACCCAGUGGGAGGUUGUAGAUGAAAAGGGGGUUCUAUGGAAGGUAACCUCACAGAGUGACCUGAUCAUAAAUUCCCAACUGAGCAGGUCAUAGUCGGUAGUCACACCCCAGGCAUAUAUGUUUUGAGAAAAGGCUUCUCUUUGCCUUUAGCAAGCUCUGUCCAUUGUUUCUGUGCAUCUGGGUUAACACACCUUUGAAAUGCCUCUUUUCAGUCCCCUCCUUCUAAAGCAUGACCACUCUCAAGAGAGCAUAUAAUCUUGUCAGCUAUCCUGUAUUUGAACCCUACCUUGCUUUCUCCCACCCUCAUAUAAUCUUCCUUAAGUUCCCUCAAUUCCAAAUGCAUAAAAGAAACAGCACAUUUAUAUUCUCUGGAGCAUUUUAAGUCUUUCUUCCCAGCAAUUGUCGUCAGUUUUGACUCAAAUAAACUCAUAACAAUUCUGCAGGUUUGGAUGUUUAUGUCCACGAAUUUGUUGACCAGAUGUCACCAGAAAGUGCUGAUUUGGGAACGUCCAGCAACUAGCACAGAGACUGAGGUCCUCUGAGAAGGUGCUCGUUACUCUUUGCUCCGAAGGGAGACAAGAAGGCUUCUUGAGAGCCUUUGAUGUAGAAGUAGCACGUGCUCGAGGGGUUCAGUUCCAGACUUGGUGACCCAGGGCUCUGUGAAGCCUGCAGUGGGACUCAUUGGGGUUCCUGUAGGGAUUUUAUUGAAUUUCUUAACAUGCCUUUAAAACAGGCUUCCUGGCCCUGCCUGUUUUUGAGUUGUCAACCUUUGAACCGGGAGGUCACGGUUCAAUUCUCAGUCAGGGUACAUGCCCAGGUUGCAGGCUCAAUCCCUGGUAAGGGGUGUACAGGAGGUAGCCGAUCAAUGUUUCUCUUUCAUCAUCGAUGUCUCCAUCUCUCUAUCCCUCUCCUUUCCUCUCUCUCUAAAAUCAGUAAGAACAAAACAGGCUUCCUGGGCUAGAUGGGUGGCUUGCUGCCUGUCCCUUGGAUUCCAGGCUCCCAAGAGGCUGGCAGCAGGUCUGUUGUAGGACACAAAGCAACCUCAGCCAGGGGAGGAGGAUGGACCUGAGCAGAGUGCACCGCAGCAGCAGCCACAGCUUGUGCUGGUGCAGGAGCAGAAUUCUCGUGGAGCCAGUGGGAUCCUGAACCAUACCAUGGAUCGAGAAAGACAUGUCUCUCAUUUUCACCUGGGCAUGUUCUUGGGAUCAUCCUGAGGCAGCUCCAGAAGGCCCGGAGCUCCCAGAAGGCUGGUGGUAACAAAGGCCUGACGUUCAGAAUGGAGGAACUGCUGGAUUCCAGAAAGGACUCACCCAGAACUCUAACCCGAGGAAAAUGUAUCUAAAAAUGAAGAGAAAAGGAGUGUUUCAGCUUCCCUGAUUGUGGGUUCUCCCCCUCCUCCCGGCCCCCGGCAUAUCUCCAGCUGAGGAGGGGAGACAUUUCAGUCUUUGGAUUAUUUUGUUGAAAACUUCGUGUGAGGCAUCAAAGGCCAGAAGAAAACAAUGAAACUGCUCAACUUUGUAUCUCUUGGGCAGGCAAGGGCAGCCCCCACUAAGUAGAGCGAAAAAGAUAAGGAGAGAUGAACAAAAAUUAAUCUUAUGACAAUAACUUUUGAGACCUACACAUCCACAUACUAGCUUAACGUUAUAUGUUUUGUGUUUAAUUGGUAACUAGCAUAUUCAGUAGAGUGAGAGGCACAGAGAAGAAGAUUGAGAGAAGGUGGGCUGAGUUUGGGUCUGACACCCAUGAGGCAUGAGACUUUGGGCAAGUUACUUCUCGCCCAUCAGUGUCACUUUCUUGUCUGCCAAAUGGGAUACAAAAAACAAAACACA